AGAGCCCCCUAAACCUUAUCAUUAAGUCUUCCUCAGGGACUUGGAUUUUUAUCAGGCUCUCCAAGGGUAAAUAACACCAAAGCAACCCUGGACUGUGCAUUCAAAAACAACACAAUGAAAGCCUGGAGGGAGAACACAAAUGAGCUGGUGAAAUCUUUCCUGUGAAUUGCUGAGGACACAGCUGAUCAGAUAACAGUGAACUGGGUUCUUCUGCUCCUCAAGAAGCCAUCCAAGAUGGCAUUUUUCCUUUGCCACCUGUUGGAACAGUUCAAGAUUCUUCUAAAAUCCUAACUUGCUACUUUCUAGCUUGGGGGCUAGAACAUGCCCGAGAUAGGGAGUUAACUGAGCCACGAGCUUUGCUCCAGGGAGGAGUUCAUCAGUUCUGCAAAGCUGAACGUCAUCAGAAGUCCCAGAGAACCACUCACCUCUAGGGUGAGUGCAUGAGGCUCAGAUCUGGGAGGUGGCCAAGAUGUCAGCUUAAGAUGGUUCUCACUCAUCGGCUCACUGUGCUUACGGUUGACUUCAAGUUUUCCGGUGACUGGAUAACUUCCACAGUAUUAAAGGCAGUGAACAACAUACGUCACCUGUGGUAGUAAACCAUCCCACUUCUCUGGUAUUGCUCCAAGGGUUCAGGGAGGACAACAAAGCCUCUGACCCUGUAGUUCUGCAGAAACUAAUGCUGGUGUUCUGGAGAAUGACUACUGAGUGCACUGCCUCAAGCUUGGUUUGGUUUUGUCUGCGGUUGCUUGCGCUGCCUCCUACUUUCUGAAAGAUCCCACUCGGAGAAGGCAAGCAGUGCUGGCUGUUGUGUCUCAGGAAAGAAAAGAAGAGGCAAGUUCCAGGUAUCAGUCUACUUAUUCCAGUGGUGCAUGUUACUCGGGAUCCACUUGCUUGCUGACUGCCGGCUCAGUUCUGCAAAGCACCUUCUUAAUUUCAGGAGUCUGCUUACAUCCACUGAUGUUCAUGAAAAUACUGACAGGCAUGCCUGUUUUUAAGUUCAGCAGGACUCAUAUGCAAGGGGUGUACUGAAAAGAAACUUCUGUUGCCUGGACAUAACAGAGAGCCAUGUUAGAGACUGUAGAAAAGGUGGAUGUACAGAGGUCAGCUGUCUCACACUGAUGAUUGUGCUGGCAUACGUGCAUUUGGGAUUUCUACGUCCCGAGG